UACGAAGGGGGCUAGCGUUGCUCGGAAUCACUGGGCGUAAAGGGUGCGUAGGCGGUCAGGUAAGUCUGAUGUGAAAGCUCUGGGCUCAACCCAGAAAUGGCAUUGGAUACUAUCUGGCUUGAGGAUUGGAGAGGUAGCUGGAAUUCUUGGUGUAGCAGUGAAAUGCGUGGAUAUCAAGAGGAACACUCGUGGCGAAAGCGAGCUACUGGACAACUCCUGACGCUGAGGCUCGAAGGCCAGGGUAGCGAAAGGG
rnacentral:rRNA from 1 species